AGAUUGAACGCUGGCGGAAUGCUUUACACAUGCAAGUCGAACGGCAGCACGGGGGCAACCCUGGUGGCGAGUGGCGAACGGGUGAGUAAUACAUCGGAACGUGCCCAGUCGUGGGGGGAUAACUACGCGAAAGCGUAGCUAAUACCGCAUACGAUCUACGGAUGAAAGCGGGGGAUCGCAAGACCUCGCGCGAUUGGAGCGGCCGAUGGCAGAUUAGGUAGUUGGUGGGGUAAAGGCUCACCAAGCCGUCGAUCUGUAGCUGGUCUGAGAGGACGACCAGCCACACUGGGACUGAGACACGGCCCAGACUCCUACGGGAGGCAGCAGUGGGGAAUUUUGGACAAGUGGGCGAAAGCCUAGAUCAGCCAUUCCGCGUGCAGGAUGAAGGCCUCGGUUGUAAACUGCUUUGGACGAACGAAAGCGACCGGUUAAUACCGUCGGCUCGAUGACGUACCGUCGAAGAAUAAGCACCGGUACUAACGUACGUAGACCAGCCAGCCG
rnacentral:rRNA from 1 species